rnacentral:rRNA from 1 species
CCUACGGGGGGCAGCAGUGGGGAAUAUUGCGCAAUGGGCGGAAGCCUGACGCAGCAACGCCGCGUGAGGGAUGACGGCCUUCGGGUUGUAAACCUCUUUCAGCGCUGACGAAGCCUUAUGACGUUGUUGUGGGGUGACGGUAGGCGCAGAAGAAGCACCGGCUAACUACGUGCCAGCAGCCGCGGUAAUACGUAGGGUGCGAGCGUUGUCCGGAAUUAUUGGGCGUAAAGGGCUCGUAGGCGGUUUGUCGCGUCUGCUGUGAAAGCCCGGGGCUUAACUCCGGGUCUGCAGUGGAUACGGGCAGGCUAGAGUCCGGCAGGGGAGACUGGAAUUCCUGGUGUAGCGGUGGAAUGCGCAGAUAUCAGGAGGAACACCGGUGGCGAAGGCGGGUCUCUGGGCCGGUACUGACGCUGAGGAGCGAAAGCGUGGGGAGCGAACAG